CUUAGGCUGCCCUUAACAAAGGAAUAUAGACCUGGUACUGCUGAUCAAAAGUGUUCUUUUAAUACAUGCAGAGUUUUAAAAAAAUCUCAGAGAUUUUACUUAAACUUUGUGGAGAGCUCUGCGUUUUUUUCUGCCACUGAGAAAAAAAAAAUCAAGUUUUCCUCUCAGAUUUCCUCUCAAUUUUCCAAGGUUCCUCAAAGGCAUGGCCAGCAAUCUGGUGCAGUUCUUCAUUUCUGCAGGGCCCCUGUGAAAAGCUGUUUUAGCUCUAUUAACAACACAGCUGAAAUCCUUUAGAGAGAGUUAACAGAUUAUGAAAGCAAACAGAUACUGCAUGUUUUCAUACAGCUCCCCUUCCACAGGACCAGAUAAGCUCCCUCUUCACUAACCUCCCACUGUUCUGCCAUUUCUGAGAGACUGCUUUUUAAAUACAUCUGAGAUGUAUUUAAAAAUCAGAAGUUGAAUUAUUAGCCCAUAACCCAAAGUGGAAAAUAUUGGAAAAUAUAGUGGAAAAUAUAUCACAAACUGAAAGAAAUUCAAACCAUAUUCUCCUGUGUCCCCUGUGGGAGUUCUCCACAUUAAACAAGAAUCCUAAGUGAGAUUAACAGUGACUGAACGGCACAAAAAAAUGGGGGAAGGAAAAGAAAACAUCCUCCUCUUCUCCUCCACUACUAUAUGGUGUGAAGGCUUGCAAUUGAAUGUUACAAGAACACGAGUGCUUGAUAUUAUAUGUGCAGAGAGAAGAAACAGGAGCAGAGUAUCCCAGAUGGAGGUGACUUUGGCACAGGAGGACAACUGGAUCAUACGAUACUAGUGCAAUGCUGGAACACCUCAGUACUGGGCAGCAUGUAGGUACAGCACAGGGGGAAGUCUCUGCAGAAAGGCUGUAGAUAUUUUUUUUAUUCUAUACACUAAUUUCCAGAAGCAGGUGUAGAAGCACAUUAUGUAGUAACCAUACUAUGGCACCGCUUUGAGUUUUCAUUUGUCAGGCUGGGAUCACAGACAGGACACCAAUUUCUGCCACCAUUCACUGAGACACUGUACAGCCAGUGUAAAAUUACUUUUUAGUUCCAAAUAUGGUUUUUUUCACCACCCUAAGAUGAAUUGUCCAAAGUACUGAAAAUUUGGUCUUCCUCAGAGUCCAGGGAAGAAGACCAUAUGCUUCAAAUUGAUUUAGAUUCCUUGUUUGGUCAGUAUAGAAGACCCUACAAUUCUCAGAAUGAAGCUCCCACCGAAAAUAAAUAAAUAAAAAGUAUGUAUUUGAUAGAAAAU
rnacentral:lncRNA from 1 species